rnacentral:rRNA from 1 species
CCUACGGGUGGCAGCAGUGAGGAAUAUUGGUCAAUGGACGAGAGUCUGAACCAGCCAAGUAGCGUGAAGGAUGACUGCCCUAUGGGUUGUAAACUUCUUUUAUAUGGGAAUAAAACGUUCCACGUGUGGGAGUUUGUAUGUACCAUAUGAAUAAGGAUCGGCUAACUCCGUGCCAGCAGCCGCGGUAAUACGGAGGAUCCGAGCGUUAUCCGGAUUUAUUGGGUUUAAAGGGUGCGUAGGGGGAUUGUUAAGUCAGAUGUGAAAGGUUGCGGCUCAACCGUAAAAUUGCAGUUAAAACUGGCAGUCUUGAGAACAGUAGAGGUGGGCGGAAUUCGUGGUGUAGCGGUGAAAUGCUUAGAUAUCACGAAGAACUCCGAUUGCGAAGGCAGUUCACUGGACUGCAACUGACACUGAGGCUCGAAAGUGUGGGUAUCAAACAGGAUUAGAUACCCCAGUAGUC